ACGAACGCUGGCGGCGUGCUUAACACAUGCAAGUCGAACGGAAAGGCCCUGCUUUUGUGGGGUGCUCGAGUGGCGAACGGGUGAGUAACACGUGAGUAACCUGCCCUUGACUUUGGGAUAACUUCAGGAAACUGGGGCUAAUACCGGAUAGGAGCUCCUGCUGCAUGGUGGGGGUUGGAAAGUUUCGGCGGUUGGGGAUGGACUCGCGGCUUAUCAGCUUGUUGGUGGGGUAGUGGCUUACCAAGGCUUUGACGGGUAGCCGGCCUGAGAGGGUGACCGGCCACAUUGGGACUGAGAUACGGCCCAGACUCCUACGGGAGGCAGCAGUGGGGAAUAUUGCACAAUGGGCGGAAGCCUGAUGCAGCAACGCCGCGUGCGGGAUGACGGCCUUCGGGUUGUAAACCGCUUUCGCCUGUGACGAAGCGUGAGUGACGGUGAUGGGUAAAGAAGCACCGGCUAACUACGUG
rnacentral:rRNA from 1 species